CUCCAAACUUCCAUCUCCAUUAUGAAAACAAUAACUGUACUGAUGACAUGCACCAGUUGCCACCUGAUCAUGAUGCUGAAUCUGCAAAGAAAUUGGCUACUGCUGCUACUCCACAUUGUGGUUCAUCAAAUGUGGUAGAAGUGCUAGUUGAAUGUAAUGUUGGGAACCUCAGUAUCAAUAGAAGUGUUUCAGGAAGCAACAAUGGAAGCAAUGGCCAAAAUGGGGGCAGCACAGCAGUUAAUGCUGGAGGAACAAACAUGGAAAGCAACAAUGGACUCCCUGGGAAUAGUGGCAGUGGCGAUGCUAGUGGAAGUAGAAGUGCCAACAGAGUAGAUCAAAACAAGACUUCUCAAAGGGAAGCAGCCUUAACUAAAUUUCGCCAAAAGAGAAGAGAAAGAAAGGAGAGGUGCUUUCAUAAAAAGACAGUGGCACUCCCUUCAAG
rnacentral:sRNA from 1 species